UACGUAGGGUGCGAGCGUUGUCCGGAAUUAUUGGGCGUAAAGGGCUCGUAGGCGGUUUGUCGCGUCGGGAGUGAAAUCCACUGGCUUAACUGGUGGCUUGCUUUCGAUACGGGCAGACUGGAGGUAUGCAGGGGAGAACGGAAUUCCUGGUGUAGCGGUGAAAUGCGCAGAUAUCAGGAGGAACACCGGUGGCGAAGGCGGUUCUCUGGGCAUGUCCUGACACUGGAGAGACGAAAGCUAGGGGAGCGAAUGGG
rnacentral:rRNA from 1 species